UCGGACGUGGUGCAUGGAUCACACCCGCUGGCUUUAAUUUCAUCGUCACCACAUCUGCGGGAAGCCUGGGUUCGAUUCCCAGCGUCCGAA